rnacentral:rRNA from 1 species
UAGGGAAUCUUCCGCAAUGGACGCAAGUCUGACGGAGCAACGCCGCGUGAGUGAAGAAGGAUUUCGGUUCGUAAAACUCUGUUGUUAGAGAAGAACAGCGCAUAGAGUAACUGUUAUGCGUGUGACGGUAUCUAACCAGAAAGCCACGGCUAACUACGUGCCAGCAGCCGCGGUAAUACGUAGGUGGCAAGCGUUGUCCGGAUUUAUUGGGCGUAAAGCGAGCGCAGGCGGUCAAUUAAGUCUGAUGUGAAAGCCCCCGGCUCAACCGGGGAGGGGCAUUGGAAACUGGUUGACUUGAGUGCAGAAGAGGAGAGUGGAAUUCCAUGUGUAACGGUGAAAUGCGUAGAUAUAUGGAGGAACACCAGUGGCGAAGGCGACUCUCUGGUCUGUAACUGACGCUGAGGCUCGAAAGCGUGGGUAGCAAACAGG